CGCGUAGGCGGAUGUUACAGUCAGGCGUGAAAUUCCUGGGCUCAACCUGGGGGCUGCGUUUGAUACGUGAUAUCUGGAGUUCGGAAGAGGGUCGUGGAAUUCCCAGUGUAGAGGUGAAAUUCGUAGAUAUUGGGAAGAACACCGGUGGCGAAGGCGGCGACCUGGUCCGAUACUGACGCUGAGGCGCGAAAGCGUGGGGAGCAAACAGGAUUAGAUACCCUGGUAGUCCACGCUGUAAACGAUGUGCGCUGGAUGUUGGGUGACAUAGUCAUUCAGUGUCGUAGCUAACGCGAUAAGCGCACCGCCUGGGGAGUACGGCCGCAAGGUUGAA
rnacentral:rRNA from 1 species